rnacentral:lncRNA from 1 species
UCAAGUGCUUGUCUUUUGCAGCUGGAGCAUCCCAGGCUCUCCUGCUGGUUAUUUAAAUAUUGGGGAGGGACAGGGGGACAGAGGGACAGAGGGACAGACAGGGAGGCUGCUGCCUGCAAGGGCCGUGGGGCAGCUGAAGGGAGGGGUCUCUCCUGUCUCCCUGGUCAGAGGGUCCCCGAUUCCCUAAUUACCAUUAAUUAACGGUAUUGUGCCAAAGGCAGGAAAUUGGCCGGCACUGAAUGAGACCCAAAAUUCAGUGAGGGAGAAGCACGGGGCUGUCCUGAGGCACUCACCUGCCGCGCCCUGGUGCCCUCCGGGUGUGCAGGCUGCACUGUCCCUGUGUCACAACGUCCCCAGUGUCCCCAGUAUCCCCAGUGGCCCCAGUGGCCCCAGUGUCCCAAAUAUCCCCAGUAUCCCCAGUGGCCCCAGUGGCCCCAGUGGCCCCAGUGUCCCUGUGUCCCAGUGUCCCAGUGUCCCAGUACCCCGUGUUCUUUUGUCCCCAGUGUCCAAAGUGUCCAAAAUAUCCCCAGUGCCUACCAGUGUCCCCAGUGUCCCCAGUGUCCCCAGUGUCCCCAGUGUCCUAGUGUCCCCAAUAUCCUAAAUACCCCCAGUGUCCCCAAUACCCUCAGUGUCCCAGGGUCCCCAGUGUCCCAAAUGUCCCAGUAUCUCCAGUGUCCCCAGUGCCCUCAGUGUCCCCAGUGUCCCCAGUGCUCCCCAGUGCCCUCAGUGUCCCCAGUGUCCCCAGUGUCCCCAGUGCCCCCCAGUGUCCCCAGUGUCCCCAGUGCCGGGCGGGAGCUGUCCCCAGUGUCGCUGUGGCUGCCUGCGGGUUGGCAGCGCUGGGAGGAAGCCGUGGCUGCGCUGCCUCGUCCCCUGCAGCUCUCGGGAACCCCGCGCUGUCCUCGCCAGGGGCUGGUUUGUUCCUCCAGCCUAGUGCCAACCCCUGCCCGGGAUUUGGGGACACCCUGCUGUCCCCAACAACCCCUGCCCGGGAUUUGGGGACACCCUGCUGGCCCAAACAACACCUGCCCGGGGUUUGGGGACACCCUGCUGUCCCCAUCCAC